AUUUAAAUAAUUUAAUUAAAAUAUUGAUUUGUGGAGUCAAAAAUAUGAAUAUCUCAUUUUAAAUC
rnacentral:tRNA from 1 species